CCUUUCUGCCCUCUGCCAUGUGAGGUCACAGUGUUCCUCCCUCCUGAGGAUGCAGUGUUCAUGAAAGCAAACACUGGGCCCUCACCAGGCAACAAACCUGCUGGUGCCUUCAUCUUGGACUUCCCAGCCUUCGGAACUAUGGAGCCCGCACUCUCCAGUUCAUCACCACCCCAGCAUCCCUACUCUUGCAUCUAACAGUUUCCGCUAUUUUGCACCACCUGCCUGGCCCUUAUGGGCAACUCAAGGAAGAAAGGAAAGAAGAGAUAGAGGAAAAAUGGAUUCAACAAAUGAAAGUGUUCUUUCUGACUACUGCUGUGUUUACAAACAUUUUAAUCAUCAAAACAUGCUUUAUUUGAUAGAAAGAUCAAAUCUGCCUUUGUAAAACAAGAGACUAUUUUAAUCAUUAAGACAACACACAUGUUUGAUUUGGAGGCGUGUUCUCAUUCAAAACCUUGCAAAAUAUAAUUUCUUCUUGUCUGGGAGAUGGUGUCUUUCUUCGGGGAGAACCUUGAGAGAAAUGUCUAUGAAUGUGUCUGUAGAUUGAGGAUAGGCCAACAAACAUAUUUUGAAAUAUUUUUUCUUUCUUUUAAAAAAAUAGAUACUUUUAAAAGAAAAUGCUUAUUUAAAUUACAUAGCUCUUUUUUUCACUCUCAGUCAUCAUUUGUGGUUUCAGUCAGUACUACAUUUAUUCCCCAGAGCUAGGAUUGCUGUGUUUUUAGAAAGGGAGCCUGUUUGAAGGGACUCUAUACUCUUGCAGUAAUUAAAAUCCUUUUAGGAGUCUUUGACUUUGACUUACUGCUUUGUUUUAAAUUAUUGAAAUUAUUCAACUUCCCCAUUCUAACCCACGGAAGGCUGUUGUUGUUCUCAUUUAUAAUGGCACAAUAUAAGUUUAAAGAUAGCUGUCUCCACAUGAAUGCAUCUGCAAAUCCAUCUCUCUUCUCUCUUCUGCCAUCCAGGUUAAGAAGCUCCACUGCGCUUUGUCCAUUGCAAGUUGAGAAGUGAGGCCCCAGCUGUCACAUACAUAGAGACGGGGUUUCUCCAUGUUGAGGCUGGUCUCAAACUCCUGACCUCAGGUGAUUCACCCGCCUCGGCCUCCCAAACUGCUGGGAUUAUAGGCAUAAGCCACCGCGCCCGGCCUUAGGCUCCAUCACAAGAGGGAGCCCCAUUGCUAGUCCCCAUCCUCAAAGCCUCUGCGUGAUGUUGUCUACUGUUACUCUUCACUACCCUGUGGGAGCCAAAGCCCUGGACAUAAGAACAGAAGGCAAGCAGUGGUGGCUGAGAGGAAGAACUGACACCUUUGUGCUAUCAGAGCACUUUGCAGAGGAGCUGUUAGUGGCCCUGUAGGAGUCUGCUGGCCAUACAUCUGGGUGUCAAAUCAAGAGAGCAUGAGAAGUUGGACAGGAAAGGUCCAAGGCAAAAUGGUUACUAAAGGCCAUCCCUGAUCCUGACCCUAAAAGAAGAAAAGGCCCUUUGCUCUUGGCAUGCUUUUGCAGGAGUGUCUCAGUCUGUUUGGGCUGCUAUAACAUUGACUGGGUGAUCUGCCUGCCUGGCCUCCCAAAGUGCUGGGGUUACAGGUGUGAGCCGCUGCACCAGGCCUUGAGGUCAGGAGUUCGAGACCAGCCUGGCCAACAUGGUGAAACCUGUCUUUACUAAAAAUACAGAAAUUAGCCAGGCAUGGAGGCGCAUGCCUGUAAUCCCAGCUACUGGGGAGGCUGAGGCAGGAGAAUCGCUUGAACCCAGAAGGUGGAGGUUGCGGUGAGCCCAGAUAGUGCCAUUGCACUCUAGCCUGGCCAACAAGAGUGAAACUCUGUCUCAAAAAAUAAAUAAACAAACAAAC
rnacentral:lncRNA from 1 species